AACGAGACCUUAACCUGCUAAAUAGCCCACGUUGCUUCGGCAGCGCGCUGGCUUCUUAGAGGGACUAUCUGCUCAAGCCGAUUUAUCUCUGCCCCAAUAACAGGUCUUUUAUGCCCGUAUAUUUUCUUGUCCGCACGCUCGCUACACUGACGGAGCCAGCGAGUUUUUUCCUUGUCCGCCAGGUCUGGGUAAUCUUGUGAAACUC
rnacentral:rRNA from 1 species